GAUGAACGCUGGCGGCGUGCCUAAUACAUGCAAGUCGAGCGAACAGAUGAGGAGCUUGCUCCUCUGACGUUAGCGGCGGACGGGUGAGUAACACGUGGAUAACCUACCUAUAAGACUGGGAUAACUUCGGGAAACCGGAGCUAAUACCGGAUAAUAUAUUGAACCGCAUGGUUCAAUAGUGAAAGACGGUUUUGCUGUCACUUAUAGAUGGAUCCGCGCCGCAUUAGCUAGUUGGUAAGGUAACGGCUUACCAAGGCGACGAGGCGUAGCCGACCUGAGAGGGUGAUCGGCCACACGGGAACUGAGACACGGUCCAGACUCCUACGGGAGGCAGCAGUAGGGAAUCUUCCGCAAUGGGCGAAAGCCUGACGGAGCAACGCCGCGUGAGUGAUGAAGGUCUUCGGAUCGUAAAACUCUGUUAUUAGGGAAGAACAAAUGUGUAAGUAACUAUGCACGUCUUGACGGUACCUAAUCAGAAAGCCACGGCUAACUACGUG
rnacentral:rRNA from 1 species